GCCUGGGUGGCUCAGUCGGUUAAGCGUCCGACUUCAGCUCAGGUCAUGAUCUCACGGUCCAUGGGUUCGAGCCCCGUGUCGGGCU
rnacentral:tRNA from 1 species